GACGAACGCUGGCGGCGUGCUUAACACAUGCAAGUCGAACGGAAAGGCCCUGCUUUUGUGGGGUGCUCGAGUGGCGAACGGGUGAGUAACACGUGAGUAACCUGCCCUUGACUUUGGGAUAACUUCAGGAAACUGGGGCUAAUACCGGAUAGGAGCUCCUGCUGCAUGGUGGGGGUUGGAAAGUUUCGGCGGUUGGGGAUGGACUCGCGGCUUAUCAGCUUGUUGGUGGGGUAGUGGCUUACCGAGGCUUUGACGGGUAGCCGGCCUGAGAGGGUGACCGGCCACAUUGGGACUGAGAUACGGACCAGACUCCUACGGGAGGCAGCAGUGGGGAAUAUUGCACAAUGGGCGGAAGCCUGAUGCAGCAACGCCGCGUGCGGGAUGACGGCCUUCGGGUUGUAAACCGCUUUCGCCUGUGACGAAGCGUGAGUGACGGUAAUGGGUAAAGAAGCACCGGCUAACUACGUG
rnacentral:rRNA from 1 species